AAAAACGUGAUGAAGAGAAAAGUAUAAAUGAUAAAGCAUCAAAGAGAGUCCGAGCAGGUGAGAGCGGAUAUGUGGAAGAAUUUAGAAAAUGGUCUCUGAAUGGCAGCGUCGAUAAGUAGACGGUGACGGGGCAGCGCUCGUUAACAACGCUCAAGUAUAGUUGUACUUGUUGAGGUGAUAGUUGUGAGACUGUUGCAAACAAAGGUGGUAACACGAGCAAGCUCGUCCUUUUC
rnacentral:ncRNA from 1 species